GUAUUCUGUACAGGGUGGUCAAAGUGGAUCAUACGGUAGCAGCAGCCAAUACGGACAGGGUGGACGAGGUGGAUCAUAUGGAGGCAGCAGCCAGUAUGGGCAGGGUGGAUCAUAUGGAGGCAGCAGCCAGUAUGGGCAGGGUGGAUCAUAUGGAGGUAGCAGCCAAUAUGGACA